rnacentral:rRNA from 1 species
AACGAACGCUGGCGGCAGGCUUAACACAUGCAAGUCGAGCGCCCCGCAAGGGGAGCGGCAGACGGGUGAGUAACGCGUGGGAAUCUACCCAUCUCUACGGAAUAACGCAUGGAAACGUGUGCUAAUACCGUAUACGUCCUUCGGGAGAAAGAUUUAUCGGAGAUGGAUGAGCCCGCGUUGGAUUAGCUAGUUGGUGGGGUAAAGGCCUACCAAGGCGACGAUCCAUAGCUGGUCUGAGAGGAUGAUCAGCCACACUGGGACUGAGACACGGCCCAGACUCCUACGGGAGGGAGCAGUGGGGAAUAUUGGACAAUGGGCGCAAGCCUGAUCCAGCCAUGCCGCGUGAGUGAUGAAGGCCCUAGGGUUGUAAAGCUCUUUCACCGGUGAAGAUAAUAACGGUAACCGGAGAAGAAGCCCCGGCUAACUUCGUGCCAGCCGCCGCGGUAACAC